rnacentral:rRNA from 1 species
AGGCAGGCUAUAAUGCAAGUCGAGGGGUAGAGUUAGCUUGCUAACUUGAGACCGGCGCACGGGUGCGUAACGCGUAUGCAACCUACCUUUAUCUGGGGGAUAGCCCGGAGAAAUCCGGAUUAAUACCGCAUAAAAUCACAGAAUGGCAUUAUUCAAUGAUCAAACAUUAAUGGGAUAGAGAUGGGCAUGCGUGUCAUUAGCUAGUUGGCGGGGUAACGGCCCACCAAGGCGACGAUGACUAGGGGAUCUGAGAGGAUGACCCCCCACACUGGUACUGAGACACGGACCAGACUCCUACGGGAGGCAGCAGUAAGGAAUAUUGGUCAAUGGAGGCAACUCUGAACCAGCCAUGCCGCGUGCAGGAAGACUGCCCUAUGGGUUGUAAACUGCUUUUAUCCGGGAAUAAACCACGAUACGUGUAUCGUGCUGAAUGUACCGGAAGAAUAAGGAUCGGCUAACUCCGUGCCAGCAGCCGCGGUAAUACGGAGGAUCCAAGCGUUAUCCGGAUUUAUUGGGUUUAAAGGGUGCGUAGGCGGCCUGUUAAGUCAGGGGUGAAAGACGGUAGCUCAACUAUCGCAGUGCCCUUGAUACUGAUGGGCUUGAAUGAACUAGAGGUAGGCGGAAUGAGACAAGUAGCGGUGAAAUGCAUAGAUAUGUCUCAGAACACCGAUUGCGAAGGCAGCUUACUAUGGUUUAAUUGACGCUGAGGCACGAAAGCGUGGGGAUCAAACAGGAUUAGAUACCCUGGUAGUCCACGCCCUAAACGAUGAACACUCGCUGUUGGCGAUACACAGUCAGCGGCUAAGCGAAAGCGUUAAGUGUUCCACCUGGGGAGUACGGUCGCAAGAUUGAAACUCAAAGGAAUUGACGGGGGCCCGCACAAGCGGAGGAGCAUGUGGUUUAAUUCGAUGAUACGCGAGGAACCUUACCCGGGCUUGAAAGUUAGUGAAUCAUUUAGAGAUAAAUGAGUGAGCAAUCACACGAAACUAGGUGCUGCAUGGCUGUCGUCAGCUCGUGCCGUGAGGUGUUGGGUUAAGUCCCGCAACGAGCGCAACCCCUAUGUUUAGUUGCCAGCACGUUAAGGUGGGGACUCUAAACAGACUGCCUGUGCAAACAGAGAGGAAGGAGGGGACGACGUCAAGUCAUCAUGGCCCUUACGUCCGGGGCUACACACGUGCUACAAUGGAUGGUACAGAGGGCAGCUACAUAGCAAUAUGAUGCGAAUCUCACAAAGCCAUUCACAGUUCGGAUUGGGGUCUGCAACUCGACCCCAUGAAGUUGGAUUCGCUAGUAAUCGCGUAUCAGCAAUGACGCGGUGAAUACGUUCCCGGGCCUUGUACACACCGCCCGUCAAGCCAUGGAAGUUGGGGGUACCUAAAGUAUGUAACCGCAAGGAGCGUCCUAGGUAAGU